rnacentral:rRNA from 1 species
UACGUAGGAGGCAAGCGUUGUCCGGAAUUACUGGGCGUAAAGCGCGUGUAGGUGGUGGGACAAUCGUGCUGUGAAAGCGCCUGGCUUAACCGGGCGAGGUCGGCGGAAACUGUCCGACUCGAGGACGGUAGAGGGGGUGGAAUUCCCGGUGUAGUGGUGAAAUGCGUAGAGAUCGGGAGGAACACCUGUGGCGAAGGCGGCUCACUGGUCCGGUACUGACGCUGAGGUGCGAAAGCGUGGGGAGCAAACAGG